GAUGAACGCUGGCGGCGUGCCUAAUACAUGCAAGUCGAGCGAACAGAUGAGGAGCUUGCUCCUCUGACGUUAGCGGCGGACGGGUGAGUAACACGUGGAUAACCUACCUAUAAGACUGGGAUAACUUCGGGAAACCGGAGCUAAUACCGGAUAAUAUAUUGAACCGCAUGGUUCAAUAGUGAAAGACGGUUUUGCUGUCACUUAUAGAUGGAUCCGCGCCGCAUUAGCUAGUUGGUAAGUUAACGGCUUACCAAGGCGACGAUGCGUAGCCGACCGGCGGGGGUGAUCGGCCACACUGGAACGGAGACACGGUCCAGACUCCUACGGGAGGCAGCAGUAGGGAAUCUUCCGCAAUGGGCGAAAGCCUGACGGAGCAACGCCGCGUGAGUUAUGACGGUCUUCGGAUCGUAAAACUCUGUUAUUAGGGAAGAACAAAUGUGUAAGUAACUAUGCACGUCUUGACGGUACCUAAUCAGAAAGCCACGGCUAACUACGUG
rnacentral:rRNA from 1 species